rnacentral:tRNA from 1 species
GAGCCCGUAGUCUAGCUGGUUAUGACGUCGCGCUUACACCGCGAAGGUCUCGAGUUCAAGUCUCGACGGGCUCA